UACGGGGGGGGGCAAGCGUUGUUCGGAAUUACUGGGCGUAAAGGGCGCGUAGGCGGCCUUCUAAGUCAGACGUGAAAUCCCUCGGCUCAACCGAGGAACUGCGUCUGAUACUGGAAGGCUUGAAUCCGGGAGAGGGAUGUGGAAUUCCAGGUGUAGCGGUGAAAUGCGUAGAUAUCUGGAGGAACACCGGUGGCGAAGGCGGCAUUCUGGACCGACAUUGACGCUGAGGAGCGAAAGCCAGGGGAGCAAACGGGG
rnacentral:rRNA from 1 species